UGUCACUCCAGUAGUACGGGACUUUCCGCUUCACAUCCAUGAUCAAGCCUCCAAAGAUCCUGACCAUGAACAAGACCCCAGGACUUGGAACUGGCUGAAAAUCCCCUCCUCGGUCUGUCCUGCUUGUCCGAGGCAGCUUUGUGAAGCUAAGCUCCAAUAGGUCAUGACCUUCCAGAGGACCAAUAGGGCCCCUGCAUCCUGCUCACCGUCCCGUCCUCUGCAGCUCAGGCCCUGCAUAGUGCUCCUCUUCCUUCAUGGUCUCGGAGGGUGCGGCCGAGCCAUUGGACAGAGUUGGAAUCUUUCUCUUCAUCUGGAAUCGCCGGCCUUGCUGUUGUCCAGGUUACCAGCGGCACACUGUGGGGAGACCACCAGCCCUGCAGUGGAGGACACAGAGUGAAAAGGCUGUUAGGGGGUUGGUUGGGCGGUACGCAUCGAAGAAUACCUCUCUCAGGGUUUCUGACUAUAACUGAGCUUGUAUUGACCCCCCGCUUUGAAGCAUUAGGCAAAUCAAUCGUAAGUGACAUCUCUUAAUAACACUGAAAACAACAUUUUUCUCUACCAUGCCACAGUUACAUCUCUGUUAUUGAAAUUAAUAUCAAUUAAGGUACACAAAUACAGUAUUUCGAUAUUGGACUUUGCUAGUCUUGACGUCAAAACAGGCCAACAAAAACUGCUCAGAUUUAAUCAUUCACGUGUAAAAGUAAGGCCUAUUGAUAGAAACAGACAGGCCCUAGAUUACGUUUCCAGCUGAACAAUAUUUUCAGAGACCACCCUCAUCCAAACCAACAAGACCCUCCCAGGACCAUGAAUAACCAGACUGACGUAAAAAUAUGACCAGUGCUGGCCUAAACUCAUUAUAGAAAGAUUAAAGGUCAUUGGGCUCUCAUGGUGCAUUGCCAGCUCAGUACUGAGAGAACUCUAUCCAUGCUUAUACAUUUGUGAGCUCUGUAAGUGCAUGGGAACCAACUGUGUCUUCUUGUUCUCAGAAUGAAUACUGACAGCAGUCCAUGUAAACAUAAUUUCAACCUGCAAUAAAGGUAAAUCCAAUUAAUGUACAAAGCAGGGGGAAACAGACCAGGGCAGUUAAACAGACCAUUCACAUAUUCAGCCUGACCCUACAGCGGUAAAAUGUCGACAACAAAAAAAAAGGCUGUGCCUUUUUGAUAUGGAAAGACAGCCAUUAGACACAGUUACACAAAGACAGACACAAGGAGCCAAAUGCAGCAGGCUUGGGGCAAGGGUGAUAGAAAAUAAAAGGAAAA